rnacentral:rRNA from 1 species
GAUGAACGCUGGCGGCAGGCCUAAUACAUGCAAGUCGAACGGGAUCUGAAGUAGCAAUACUUUGGUGAGAGUGGCGCACGGGUGCGUAACACGUAUGCAACCUACCUUUAACCGGGACACAACCCUCCGAAAGGGGGGCUAAUAUUCCAUGUGAUUAUUUUGUGGCAUCAUAAGAUAAUUAAAGAUUCAUUGGUUAAAGAUGGGCAUGCGUCCCAUUAGCUAGUUGGUGAGGUAACGGCCCACCAAGGCUAUGAUGGGUAGGGGUUCUGAGAGGAUAUACCCCCACACUGGUACUGAGACACGGACCAGACUCCUACGGGAGGCAGCAGUAAGGAAUAUUGGUCAAUGGGCGGAAGCCUGAACCAGCCAUGCCGCGUGCAGGAAGACGGCCCUAUGGGUUGUAAACUGCUUUUGUCAGGGGAUAAACCUAUCUACGUGUAGAUAGCUGAAGGUACCUGAAGAAUAAGGAUCGGCUAACUCCGUGCCAGCAGCCGCGGUAAUACGGAGGAUCCGAGCGUUAUC